rnacentral:lncRNA from 1 species
GCGUCAUUGCACUCCAGCCUGGGCAACAAGAGCAAAACUCCAUCUCAAAAAAAAAGAAAAAAGAAAUGUUAUGAAUUGGUAACAUCAGUCACAUUCCUACAACUUGCUGGUGCCUGGCACUGACCCGCAGCAGCCUCUGAGAUUACUAAUAGGCUGAGUGUAGGAGUAGCCUGGACCAUGUCUCCAUGGGUGUGGGGGAUAGCUCUUCUGAAGAAAGACUUAGGCUCAGUAUUUAGGAAACCUGAAAUGAAAGUGAGCCCACCUCUGUUUACCUUGUAGGAAGCUGAGCUAAGUGAGCAGCUGAAGAUGAAGGGAAGCCCAGAGGUUUUGCAGGUCACCAGAAAAGCCCUAAUUGAAGGAGGUACUAUACAAAUUUAGAAGAAAUGGUGCGUGAUUGUUUACAAAAGGUUCCUGAAUUUUCAGUGUUUGGCAGAGGAGGAGACAUGGAGAAAUACUGAAACUCCUGCUAAAGGACACCCCUUCAAAGGGCAGGCGCUGUGCUGGGCUCUGGGACUCGUGGGUGAACUGCACAGAGCUGGGCCCUGCCUUCAGGGAAAGAAGACAAUAAGCAAAACAUACCCAAAGAGAUGGUUACAAAGACAGCGAGCACCCGGAAGGAAAAUGGAAGCUGCCAGGAAAGGGGCUCCUGGGCCUACUCACCAGGAAGUCCAGUCCUCACCAGCCCGGAGGCCUGGUCUGCAUCCUCAGCCUCACAGAAGCUCAACCAGUCACUUAAAACGAGAUUGCAGUGAUGUUUUACAACUCUGUGAACGCACUAAUAGCCACUGAAUUCUACACUAACGUGUGCAUUUUAUGACAGGAGUGCUGCAUCUGGAUGGCAUGGCAGAGGGAAGCCCCAGCUGCCACUGCUCCAGGGACCCUUAUAGUUCCACGGUGAUGGGGAACAGAAAGAGGCUCUUCCAGGAAACAGCCUUGGGGACAAGGAGACCACACUUCUGGGUGAUUCGAAGAUCAGACAAGGCUCCUGUAAAAUGAACGAAUGAAGUGAAUGAAUGAGACGGAGUUGCACUGUUAGAGAUGGUGGCAGCAGUGUGAAUCAAAUGAAGUCCCUGCUCUCCCGGUUGUGGCCACGUUAGUCCAGCCCAGAAGAGUCUCCAGGGGCCCGAGCAUCUGUCCUCACAUCAGAACUAGCUUUGGGAUUGUGACUUUGGGGUUGCUUUGUUGGCUUCCUUUUCCUGUCAGGCAGCAUAUAGGGCUGGGGGCUGUCAACCGCACCCUCCCUGAAUCUACGUCCAUCACGAGUCCCCUUGCAGGGCCUUCUUUUUUUUUGACCCAGCGUCAGUCAUGUAACUUGCUUUGGCCAAGUGAUGUCAGCAAGUGGGAUACAAGCAGAGGUCUGAAAAGUGCUGGCAAACGGGGCUUGCUCGCUCGGCUCUGCCACAGUGUGAGAACGUGCCUCGACUCGCCUGCCGGUGGACAGCACACUUGGAACAGGACUGGUGUCGCCAGCUGCCCCAGCCGAGGCCACCCUAGACCAGCCAGCAGCCAGGACCAUGGCCCGGGCGAGUCCAGCCUGCAUCACUGGCUGCAGACUCGUGGGCUAAAUAAUUGCUCAUUGCUUCAAGUCACUGAGUUUCAGGGCAGUCCGUCCCAUAGCAUUAUUGUGGCAGUGGUCACUGAUGGGGCAGUAGGAGGGCUCCUGUCAGUACCAGGAGCUGUUGGCUCCUGUCAGAAAGGACCUAGUGGUAGCCAGUGUGGACCUGGAACAAGAGAGUGGGCCUUAAAACGAGGAUCUCCAGGCACCAUGUGGGGCUGAGCCUCAUAGGCAGCCAUUCCUGAAGCGCAGGAGGUGGUAGGAAAUUAGGAGGCAAAGGCAUGAGAUGCUAUGGCAGCUUCCCUGAGCGGGGACGAUGGGCACCACUCAUCGGUGGGCACCGCAGGGUGAGUCAGUUCCCGGCCCUGCUGCUUGAACUCAUCUCCCACAGGCACAGGCUGGCCGUGGGAGUCCGCGGGCCACGUGCAGUCUCCUCAUUCCCACCUCCUCCAGGUUUCCUUGCAGCCUCCACCUCCAGGGCUGAGUCAUGAGCUCAUGGCCCCAGGGAAGGAGAAGCUGGAAAGGCCUAGGACUUCAAGGUCACAGAGCUGUCAGCCCUCUGGGGAACUGCCUUGGUAGAACAGAGUAGCCACCUCACCCAAGGCAGCCCCCAGCCAGGGACGGAUCAGCUUGGGGGCGUAAACCUUGGUCCCCUCACCGCAGCUUGGUGCAGCCUGCAGGGCCACCCCAGCUCCGGGGCUCCUGAGACCAGCUUCUCCCUCGGGCCAUCCUGCCUGUCCCAUUCUGUCCCCUUCCAUCAGGGCUGACCCCCAGAGGACACCCUAACAAUUCCCUGCAGCCCAGGCUCCACCUCGGUGGGUAGCAGCUUCCCUGAAACCAGUGGUGCUUCUCAUUCAGUCCCUGCAGGCUGAGAAGCAGCCUGAAGGAUCUCCACUGCUUCCAGGCGAGGCCCCAGGGAUCUGCUGAGAAUCUGGCUGGUUGGCUUGCCAGGAAACAUCACUGUGAGUGUGAAGUGUCCCAGCCUUUGAGGGCCGCACGCCCACUGCCCAGGCAAGGGCUGAAUGGGAGCUUCAGAACUCAGGAGAUCACAGUGUGGGCGAGCCUAGGCUGCAGGACGGAGCCACAGCAAGGGUGACACAGGUUGCCAGUGCCCUGUGGAGGACACCACAGAACCCCACGGCAGCCCGGGCCUGCCGCGCCUGCACUGUCACCCACUUGGGGUGGAGCAUUCUUCUCUGCAACCAGCUAUAGGAAAUACAUAGUCUUAUAAUCUUUGUCCACCUGAGGAAUUACAGAUGGUCCCUGGCUCCUGGUGCCUCAAUUUAUGAUUUUUUGACUUUAUGAUGGUUUGAAAUAUUGGCAGUUUUGAUGAAUGUACAGUAUUCAAUAUAUCAUGUGAGGUAUUCAACAUUUUAUGAUAAAAUGGGCUUCGUGUGGCAUGAUUUUGCCCAAUUGUAGGCUAACCUGAGUGUUCUGAGCAUGUUUAAGGUCCACUAGGCUAAGCUAGGAUGUUCGGUAGCUUAGGUGUGUCAAAUGCAUUUUCAACUUACGAUAUUUUCAACUUGGAAUGGGUUUACCUGGAUGCAACCCCCAUGUAACUCGAGGAGCACCUGUAUGCGUCAAUUGCCUUCACCCUCUAACAGGGUGGGUGUGAGGGCUGCCAUGUCAGAGAAAGCAGGCCUGGAAUGGCGGUCAGAAGAGGAUUCUGGAAAUUCUGAGGUUUCCUAACAAGGCCCCAGUCAUGGCAGGAGGCUCUGAGGGCUCCACUGGGGCCGGAGAGGCUGCUUCCAGGCUCUCUCUGGCGUCCCUUGCUGGGGCUCCAGGCCUUCUCCAGCUGCUGGUGGCAGACCUGGAUCACAGGGCUGCUCAGUACAAGGCAGCUGGCUUUUCCCAGAGCAAGGGCUCUGAAGGGGAGGGAACAAGAGAAGGCGGGCAAGGUGGGGGGCACAGGCGUUUUGUAGCCAAAUAAUCUUGGAAGGGACAGCCCAUUACCUUUGCCAGAUUCUACUUAGUUGAAGCCAGUCCCUAGGUGACAGGAAUCACGAAGGCCAUUGGAGAGGCUGCCUGCCCUACGGGAUUGCAGAGGGGACGAGGCCCAGCAAAGUCUGUGGAGCUGGAGGAUGCCACGCCCAUUCAGGACGAAAUGCAGAAGGACGCUGCAGAGCCUGCUUCUCUGUUCCUUCGCCUCACUGGGGCAGACCAGCUGCGGCCAGCCUGUGCCCACUCCUCGCGGACCUGGGUACUGCUUCCAGAGAUCCUUCAGUCCUGGGAGUUUAAUCAUUCUGUCCCGGCCUCUUUGCUCCCAGCCCUCCCCUGGCAGUUGCUGCUCUAUUGUUCUAGCUCAGUUUUCACUUUUUGCCCUUGCAAUGCACAAGGGUUAGCAAUUCUUGAUGGUACAGUCUCUCUGUUCGAAGAGCUGGGGUGGUUUCUACUUCUAGCUGGACCCUGAGUGAUCCUUCAGGCAGGGGUCUCUGCGACUGGAGACAUGCUGUGUGCAUGAGGUCCCAUGUACACUCAGAUUGCAUCCCCCAUCCCUGCCCAGCCCUGAGAGGCAGGCGAGACAGUCCCCCUCUCACCAUCUCUGGGGUGGGCCUGGAUUUAUUGGCUGAAGAAUUACACCCUCUUUGAUGGUAUGCAGUUUAAUUCCGUAGAUCAAAGCUAUGUCUAGAUUUUAAAUAAAUGAUAGGGAUUUAAAAUUGUAUAUAAAACACA